CAGUCGCCGCGGGAAAACGUAGGUGGCAAGCGUCGUCCGGAAUUGUUGGGCGUAAAGGGCUCGCAGGCGGUUUCUUAAGUCUGAUGUGAAAGCCCCCGGCUCAACCGGGGAGGGUCAUUGGAAACUGGGAAACUUGAGUGCAGAAGAGGAGAGUGGAAUUCCACGUGUAGCGGUGAAAUGCGUAGAGAUGUGGAGGAACACCAGUGGCGAAGGCGACUCUCUGGUCUGUAACUGACGCUGAGGAGCGAAAGCGUGGGGAGCGAACAGGAUUAGAUACCCGGGUAGUCCCUGUCUCUUAUAA
rnacentral:rRNA from 1 species